CAGUCGCCACGGGAAUACGAAGGGGGCUAGCGUUGCUCGGAAUUACUGGGCGUAAAGGGAGCGUAGGCGGAUAGUUUAGUCAGAGGUGAAAGCCCAGGGCUCAACCUUGGAAUUGCCUUUGAUACUGGCUAUCUUGAGUAUGGAAGAGGUAUGUGGAACUCCGAGCGUAGAGGUGAAAUUCGUAGAUAUUCGGAAGAACACCAGUGGCGAAGGCGACAUACUGGUCCAUUACUGACGCUGAGGCUCGAAAGCGUGGGGAGCAAACAGGAUUAGAUACCAGCGUAGUCCCUGUCUCUUAUAC
rnacentral:rRNA from 1 species